rnacentral:rRNA from 1 species
GAAAGGAAUGCUAAUACCGCGUAAGACCACGCCCACUACGGUGGAAGUGGUUAAAGACGGNCUCUUCUUGAAAGCUGUCACCAGAGGAUGAGCCUGCGUCCCAUCAGCUUGUUGGUGAGGUAAUGGCUUACCAAGGCGAAGACGGGUAGCUGGUCUGAGAGGAUGAUCAGCCACACUGGCACUGGAACACGGGCCAGACUCCUACGGGAGGCAGCAGUGAGGAAUAUUGGGCAAUGGGCGCAAGCCUGACCCAGCCACGUCGCGUGUGUGAUGAAGGCCUUCGGGUCGUAAAGCACUGUGGGGAGAGACGAAAAAUCUCCGUCCUAAUACGGCGGAGACUUGACGGUACCUCCUUAGCAAGCACCGGCUAACUCUGUGCCAGCAGCCGCGGUAAUACAGAGGGUGCAAACGUUGCUCGGAUUUACUGGGGCGUAAAGCGCGUGUAGGCGGACUCGCAAGUCGGUUGUGAAUCCCUGGGCUUACCUAGGAACUGCAUCCGAAACUGCGUGUCUUGAGUAAUGG